rnacentral:misc_RNA from 1 species
UAGGAUUACUUUCCUUCUUAGUUAGGAUCACAAUUGUAUAAAUUUGUUGUAAUCCUUCUUUGAGAUAUGAUAAAAUAUUUUCACAACAAUGACCAAUGCUAGAAAUUUUUUAUUAAUCAAGUUGAUGAGAUUAGCCAUUAAAAAUAUUCAAGGCAUUUUAACUGGGAUUAAAAAGCAUCAGUUUCCACUGAUUGGUUAAGUAUUUAAUCCCAAUUCAAAGAAUCCAACAACUACAUUACCUUUUCAACCACAAAUUUAGAUCUAUAUCAUUGUCCACCACUCAUCAAUAAUGUACUAAAAUAA